CCCUGGAAGAAGAGGACUGCUUA
rnacentral:piRNA from 1 species